UUCUAAGCUAAAUAUCACCAUGAGACCGAUAGCAAACAAGUACCGUGAGGGAAAGUUGAAAAGCACUCUGAAUAGAGAGUCAAAAAGUACGUGAAACUGCCUAGGGAUGCAAACCCUUUAAACUCAUUUGACCGGGGGGACGAUAUCAACUGGGGCGGGGCCCUGGUUGUCACGCCAGGGGGCACUUAUGCUCCUGGUUUCUUAAGGACAUUGCGAUCCAUUAUUAACAGUGGUUUUGCAGGUUCACGCCGGCAAACAGCCCCAAAACGGACCCCAGGUGAUGGUCCCUGGCCCCAUUGUACAACCUUCCAUUUGAAAAGUUCUAUUUCGAAGGCUGGGGCUCAAUGCGGGGGGUGUGACGGCUGGGGCUUGAUGGAUUCCCGGCCUGGCGCCACCCCGGAAGUGGUCCCGGACUUACACCCUCAAUUGGGGAUGGGAGACUGUGGCUUGCCAGGGCUAAAAUCGAGGUCCCUUCCGGGGCCAACUUGAAACACGGACAAAAAAAUGCACACAUGGAUGAAGUUACCCCGGGAACCCUCCUGGAACCACGACAAAAAAUUCCAAAA
rnacentral:rRNA from 1 species